rnacentral:rRNA from 1 species
AAUAUUUCGACAAGGGCGCCAGCCUGAUCCAGACCUGCAGCGUAAGGGCUGUAGGCCACAGGGUUGUAAAGCUCUUUCAACGGUGAAGAUAAUGACGGUGACCGUAGAAGAAGCCCGGGCAACCUCCGUUCCAGCAACCGCGGUAAUAUGAAUGGGGCUAGCGUUGUUCGGAAUUACUGGGCGUAAAGCGCACGUAGGCGGAUUGGUCAGUUAGGGGUGAAAUCCCAGGGCUGAACCCUGCAACUGCCUUGAAUACUGCCGGUCUAGAGUUCGAGAGUCGUGAGUGGAAUUCCGAGUGUAGAGGUGAAAUUCGUAGAUAUUCGGAGGAACACCAGUGGCGAAGGCGGCUCACUGUCUCGAUACUGACGCUGAGGUGCGAAAGCGUGUGGAGCAAACAG